GUGGGGAAUCUUGCGCAAUGGGCGAAAGCCUGACGCAGCCAUGCCGCGUGAAUGAUGAAGGUCUUAGGAUUGUAAAAUUCUUUCACCGGGGACGAUAAUGACGGUACCCGGAGAAGAAGCUCCGGCUAACUUCGUGCCAGCAGCCGCGGUAAUACGAAGGGGGCUAGCGUUGCUCGGAAUUACUGGGCGUAAAGGGCGCGUAGGCGGACAGCUUAGUCAGAGGUGAAAGCCCAGGGCUCAACCUUGGAAUUGCCUUUGAUACUGGCUGUCUUGAGUUUGGGAGAGGUGAGUGGAACGCCGAGUGUAGAGGUGAAAUUCGUAGAUAUUCGGAAGAACACCAGUGGCGAAGGCGACUCACUGGCCCGUUACUGACGCUGAGGCGCGAAAGCGUGGGGAGCAAACAGGAUUAGAUACCCCGGUAGCC
rnacentral:rRNA from 1 species